UACAGAGGUCUCAAGCGUUGUUCGGAUUCAUUGGGCGUAAAGGGUGCGUAGGUGGCGGGGGUAAGUCGGAUGUGAAAUCUCAGGGCUCAACCCUGAAACUGCAUUCGAUACUGCCUUGCUCGAGGACUGGAGAGGAGAUUGGAAUUCACGGUGUAGCAGUGAAAUGCGUAGAUAUCGUGAGGAAGACCAGUGGCGAAGGCGGAUCUCUGGACAGUUCCUGACACUGAGGCACGAAGGCCAGGGGGAGCAAACGGG
rnacentral:rRNA from 1 species